UAGGGAAUAUUGGGCAAUGGACGAGAGUCUGACCCAGCCAUGCCGCGUGCAGGAAGAAGGCGUUCUGCGUUGUAAACUGCUUUUAUCUGGGAAGAAAAGGCCCAUGCGUGGGACAUUGCCGGUACCAGAUGAAUAAGCACCGGCUAACUCCGUGCCAGCAGCCGCGGUAAUACGGAGGGUGCAAGCGUUGUCCGGAUUUAUUGGGUUUAAAGGGUGCGUAGGCGGUUGAUUAAGUCAGCGGUGAAAGUUUUGGGCUCAACCCAGAAAUUGCCAUUGAUACUGGUCGACUUGAGUAUUGCAGGGGUACAUGGAAUUGAUGGUGUAGCGGUGAAAUGCAUAGAUACCAUCAGGAACACCGAUAGCGAAGGCAUUGUACUGGGCAACC
rnacentral:rRNA from 1 species